ACACAGAAAUAACAAACAUGUAGGUGACAUGUAUAGAACACACACACACAGAAAUAACAAACAUGUAGCUGACAUGUAUAGGACACACAGAAAUAACAAACAUGUAGCUGACAUGUAUAGGACACACAGAAAUAACAAACAUGUAGCUGACAUGUAUAGGACACACAGAAAUAACAAACAUGUAGCUGACAUGUAUAGGACACACAGAAAUAACAAACAUGUAGCUGACAUGUAUAGGACACACAGAAAUAACAAACAUGUAGCUGACAUGUAUAGGACACACAGAAAUAACAAACAUGUAGCUGACAUGUAUAGGACACACAGAAAUAACAAACAUGUAGCUGACAUGUAUAGGACACACAGAAAUAACAAACAUGUAGCUGACAUGUAUAGGACACACAGAAAUAACAAACAUGUAGCUGACAUGUAUAGGACACACAGAAAUAACAAACAUGUAGCUGACAUGUAUAGGACACACAGAAAUAACAAACAUGUAGCUGACAUGUAUAGGACACACAGAAAUAACAAACAUGUAGCUGACAUGUAUAGGACACACAGAAAUAACAAACAUGUAGCUGACAUGUAUAGAACACACACACACAGAAAUAACAAACAUGUAGCUGACAUGUAUAGAACACACACACACAGAAAUAACAAACAUGUAGCUGACAUGUAUAGGACACACACACACACACACAGAUAUAACAAACAUGUAGCUGACAUGUAUAGAACACACACACACAGAAAUAACAAACAUGUAGCUGACAUGUAUAGGACACACACACACACACAGAUAUAACAAACAUGUAGCUGACAUGUAUAGGA